GACGAACGCUGGCGGCGUGCUUAACACAUGCAAGUCGAACGGAAAGGCCCUGCUUUUGUGGGGUGCUCGAGUGGCGAAAGGGUGAGUAACACGUGAGUAACCUGCCCUUGACUUUGGGAUAACUUCAGGAAACUGGGGAUAAUACCGGAUAGGAGCUCCUGCUGCAUGGUGGGGGUUGGAAAGUUUCGGCGGUUGGGGAUGGACUCGCGGCUUAUCAGCUUGUUGGUGGGGUAGUGGCUUACCAAGGCUUUGACGGGUAGCCGGCCUGAGAGGGUGACCGGCCACAUUGGGACUGGGAUACGGCCCAGACUCCUACGGGAGGCAGCAGUGGGGAAUAUUGCACAAUGGGCGGAAGCCUGAUGCAGCAACGCCGCGUGCGGGAUGACGGCCUUCGGGUUGUAAACCGCUUUCGCCUGUGACGAAGCGUGAGUGACGGUAAUGGGUAAAGAAGCACCGGCUAACUACGUG
rnacentral:rRNA from 1 species